AUAGAAAUCACAUGGGGUUCUUAUUAAAAUGCAGAGUUUGCUAUAGUAAGUCUGAGGGAGGGGCCUGAAAUUCUGCAUUUCGAACAAGCUCCUAGGGGAAGCCCAG
rnacentral:pre_miRNA from 1 species